UCAACUGCUCAAUUUAUUUAAACAAAACAAAUCUUUACAUGUCAAAUUUUAAUAGUCUAUCCAACGUAAACGAGUUUUCUUUAGUGUAGGGGUGGCUUUAGGUGUUGUCAUUUUCGUUCUUGAGCCUCUGUGUUGAUAUCACUGCACAUAAUUUUUGUGAAACAGUUAUGAAUUAGUUGAUAGUACAAAAAGUUUCCUAUUAAAAUUUUGUUUUAAUUUCCUUCA